UUGACGUUAGCGACAGAAGAAGCACCGGCUAACUCCGUGCCAGCAGCCGCGGUAAUACGGAGGGUGCGAGCGUUAAUCGGAAUUACUGGGCGUAAAGCGCAUGCAGGUGGUUUGUUAAGUCAGAUGUGAAAGCCCGGGGCUCAACCUCGGAACUGCAUUUGAAACUGGCAGACUAGAGUACUGUAGAGGGGGGUAGAAUUUCAGGUGUAGCGGUGAAAUGCGUAGAGAUCUGAAGGAAUACCGGUGGCGAAGGCGGCCCCCUGGACAGAUACUGACACUCAGAUGCGAAAGCGUGGGGAGCAAACAGGAUUAGAUACCCUGGUAGUCCACGCUGUAAACGAUGUCUACUUGGAGGUUGUGGCCUUGAGCCGUGGCUUUCGGAGCUAACGCGUUAAGUAGACCGCCUGGGGAGUACGGUCGCAAGAUUAAAACUCAAAUGAAUUGACGGGGGCCCGCACAAGCGGUGGAGCAUGUGGUUUAAUUCGAUGCAACGCGAAGAACCUUACCUACUCUUGACAUCCAGAGAAUCUAGCGGAGACGCUGGAGUGCCUUCGGGAACUCUGAGACAGGUGCUGCAUGGCUGUCGUCAGCUCGUGUUGUGAAAUGUUGGGUUAAGUCCCGCAACGAGCGCAACCCUUAUCCUUGUUUGCCAGCGAGUAAUGUCGGGAACUCCAGGGAGACUGCCGGUGAUAAACCGGAGGAAGGUGGGGACGACGUCAAGUCAUCAUGGCCCUUACGAGUAGGGCUACACACGUGCUACAAUGGCGCAUACAGAGGGCGGCCAACUUGCGAAAGUGAGCGAAUCCCAAAAAGUGCGUCGUAGUCCGGAUUGGAGUCUGCAACUCGACUCCAUGAAGUCGGAAUCGCUAGUAAUCGUGGAUCAGAAUGCCACGGUGAAUACGUUCCCGGGCCUUGUACACACCGCCCGUCACACCAUGGGAGUGGGCUGCAAAAGAAGUGGGUAGUUUAACCUUCGGGAGGACGCUCACCACUUUGUGGUUCAUGACUGGGGUGAAGUCGUAACAAGGUAGCGCUAGGGGAACCUGGCGCUGGAUCACCUCCUUA
rnacentral:rRNA from 1 species